AGAGUUUGAUCCUGGCUCAGGACGAACGCUGGCGGCAUGCCUAAUACAUGCAAGUCGAACGAUCACUUCGGUGGUAGUGGCGCACGGGUGCGUAACGCGUGGGAAUCUGCCCUUGGGUUCGGAAUAACAUCUGGAAACGGAUGCUAAUACCGGAUGAUGACGUAAGUCCAAAGGUUUAUCGCCCAGGGAUGAGCCCGCGUAGGAUUAGCUAGUUGGUGGGGUAAAGGCCUACCAAGGCGACGAUCCUUAGCUGGUCUGAGAGGAUGAUCAGCCACACUGGGACUGAGACACGGCCCAGACUCCUACGGGAGGCAGCAGUAGGGAAUAUUGGACAAUGGGGGCAACCCUGAUCCAGCAAUGCCGCGUGAGUGAUGAAGGCCUUAGGGUUGUAAAGCUCUUUUACCCGGGAUGAUAAUGACAGUACCGGGAGAAUAAGCCCCGGCUAACUCCGUGCCAGCAGCCGCGGUAAU
rnacentral:rRNA from 1 species